AGUGAACGCUGGCGGUAGGCCUAACACAUGCAAGUCGAACGGCAGCACAGUAAGAGCUUGCUCUUACGGGUGGCGAGUGGCGGACGGGUGAGGAAUACAUCGGAAUCUACUUUUUCGUGGGGGAUAACGUAGGGAAACUUACGCUAAUACCGCAUACGACCUACGGGUGAAAGUAGGGGAUCUCCGGACCUUGCGCGAUUGAAUGAGCCGAUGUCGGAUUAGCUAGUUGGCGGGGUAAAGGCCCACCAAGGCGACGAUCCGUAGCUGGUCUGAGAGGAUGAUCAGCCACACUGGAACUGAGACACGGUCCAGACUCCUACGGGAGGCAGCAGUGGGGAAUAUUGGACAAUGGGCGCAAGCCUGAUCCAGCCAUACCGCGUGGGUGAAGAAGGCCUUCGGGUUGUAAAGCCCUUUUGUUGGGAAAGAAAAGCAGCAGGUUAAUACCCCGCUGUCCUGACGGUACCCAAAGAAUAAGCACCGGCUAACUUCGUG
rnacentral:rRNA from 1 species